GCCUGGGUGGCUCAGUCGCUUGAGCAUCUGACUCUUGAUUUCGGUUCAGGUCAUGAUCCCGGGGUCGUUGGAUCGAGCCCUGCCUCAGGCU
rnacentral:tRNA from 1 species